ACGGCCAUACCACAUUGAAAACACCGGUUCUCGUCCGAUCACCGAAGUUAAGCAAUGUCGGGCCCGGUCAGUACUUGGGAGUCGAAACGUUGAUAAAAUAAAAAAGUGUCUAUAA